UUGCCCAGAUUUUCUACGGCAUUUAAUUAAGAAAGGGUAUAAGUACAAAGACGAUGCUACAAAGAGGGGAUAGAUGGCUGAAAGUCGCCAAUGGAGUUAGAGCCGACGUUGAAGCAGUUUGUCAACUCACGUUAGAGUUAGAGAAUGGCUUUAAACUCCAGUUACAUAAUGUUCUUUAUGUACCCUCUUUGUCUAGAAAUUUAAUUUCAGUAUCAUGCUUG